rnacentral:piRNA from 1 species
UGUGUGCAACACAGCCUUUCUGGAAUACA